UGCAGGUUAGAACAACUGGUAGAUUCACUAGGCUCAAAUAUCUUAAGUCUAGAGCUAUGGGUCCGAGUCCCGUACCUGCAA
rnacentral:tRNA from 1 species